rnacentral:rRNA from 1 species
UACGGGGGGGGUAAGCGUUGUUCGGAUUUACUGGGCGUAAAGGGCGCGUAGGCGGCGUAACAAGUCACUUGUGAAAUCUCCGGGCUUAACCCGGAGCGGCCAAGUGAUACUGUUGUGCUAGAGUGCGGAAGGGGCUACUGGAAUUCUCGGUGUAGCGGUGAAAUGCGUAGAUAUCGAGAGGAACACCUGCGGCGAAGGCGGGUAGCUGGGCCGACACUGACGCUGAGGCGCGAAAGCCAGGGGAGCGAACGGG